rnacentral:misc_RNA from 1 species
GAAAUGCGAUAAGUAAUGUGAAUUGCAGAAUUCAGUGAAUCAUCGAAUCUUUGAACGCACCUUGCGCUCCUUGGUAUUCCUUGGAGCAUGCCUGUUUGAGUAUCAUGAAAUCUUCAAAGUAAAUCUUUUGUUAACUCAAUUGGUUUCUACUUUGGUAUUGGAGGUCUUUGCAGCUUCACACCUGCUCCUCUUUGUUCAUUAGCUGGAUCUCAGUGUUAUGCUUGGUUCCACUCGGCGUGAUAAGUUAUCUAUCGCUGAGGACACUGUAAAAGGUGGCCAAGGUAAAUGCAGAUGAACCGCUUCUAAUAGUCCAUUGACUUGGACAAUACUUUUAUGAUCUGAUCUUAAAUCAGAUAGGACUACCCGCUGAACUUAAGC